AUAUCCAAGUGGUUGACGGCUUUAUAUUAGUAAUGAUUGGAUAAGAAGUGGAAGCAAAGCAUCAAAAUUGAUCCACACAAAUCUUGAGCUCGAUCGACCAAAAAACAAAGAACCAAAAAUGUGUUUCAGGGUGGAGUGCAAACAAUGUGGGAAGUACUCGUGGGGAGGGUGUGGAGAGCACUUGAAGACUCUCUACGGCAGCAUUGAUAAGGGGAAGCACUGCAUGUGCCGUUCAUGGCCUGGGGUUGUUAUACCCAAAGAAGAAUCACCUACUGAAACACAAGCAGUAGCCUCUGCCUCAGGAAAGUAGCCUAUCAAUAACCUCCUACGCUAGGCAGCAGUAGUGAUAUUCAAGGUGGCCCUAGCACAAAAAUGAAGAGGGGGAGAAAGAGUUUAUUCAAUGGUAGUCGCUAAAAGUCCUAAAACCCUAGAUGAAUAAUAUCGUUUUCAUCUGAGUUCUGUACUUCUGUUUUAUAUGUUGUCUCCAACCAUGCAUGAUAUGAGUGAAUAAGUCAAUAAACAAUGUUAGUGCAGGUAAUGUUGGUCAAGACAUGUUUGACCAACCGAAACCUGCCCUUUUUUUACUGUACUGAUUGAACCAGCAAUAAUAAUAAUAGAAUUAUGAUUAA